AAAAAGGCAAACCUUGAGUUUCCAUGUCCAACUUUGACUGUCCGUCUUAUAGAAAUUUUUUUAUAAUUCGUAUUUUCAUGAUUAAACAUGAUUAAUAUUUUAUGCGUGACUUGUCUUUUUAAUCUUUUUUAUAAUUCUUUCAAAUAAGACGAACGGUCAAACGUUGGGCACGGAAACCAGGGUUUGUCUUUUU
rfam:Oryza glumipatula chromosome 4, whole genome shotgun sequence.